GACGAACGCUGGCGGCGUGCUUAACACAUGCAAGUCGAACGGAAAGGCCCUGCUUGCAGGGUACUCGAGUGGCGAACGGGUGAGUAACACGUGGGUGAUCUGCCCUGCACUUCGGGAUAAGCCUGGGAAACUGGGUCUAAUACCGGAUAGGAGCCAUUUUUAGUGUGAUGGUUGGAAAGUUUUUUCGGUGUAGGAUGAGCUCGCGGCCUAUCAGCUUGUUGGUGGGGUAAUGGCCUACCAAGGCGGCGACGGGUAGCCGGCCUGAGAGGGUGGACGGCCACAUUGGGACUGAGAGACGGCCCAGACUCCGACGGGAGGCAGCAGUGGGGAAGAUUGCACAAUGGGCGCAAGCCUGAUGCAGCGACGCCGCGUGGGGGAUGACGGCCUUCGGGUUGUAAACGCCUUUCGCUAGGGACGAAGCUUUUUGUGACGGUACCUAGAUAAGAAGCACCGGCUAACUACGUG
rnacentral:rRNA from 1 species